GCGAUCUACCAGUGUCGACAGUGAGUGUCUUACUACAGCGCCCGUCCGAGCUGCCUUUGUUCUGCCGAGCUGCCUGCCCGCGCUCUCGUGAAAAGUCUGGUACUGGAGCUUCGAAUCGUAGUGUAUGGAAGACUGUUGAAGGUUGUGCUUUUGUGGAGCUGGAGUUCAUCGGAAGUUCUACAGUGCUUGCGCCAGAAAAACGUCGGUGCCUCGGUACCUUUGAGACGAAGGAGCGUUGGCCAAGUCUUUUUGAAAGGCUAUGCGGAUUCUGGAGGCAUCCCUACAUCAAGCAGGAACCUGCUGCACUGCUGGAAGCUGGACAGCACGACAAUAAAGCACGUGAUCUGUGUGCUUUCUCAAAGGUAGACAUCGGCGACGGUGUAUAUGUUGAAAAGUGCCUGCUGAAGAGGCUGCGCCUGGAUGCUAACAACUCAGGCUUUCAGUUCGCGGGGGGCCUCCUUAAGGCUCCUUUUACAAAAGAAGAGGUUGAAGGGAGGCGCUACACAUGGAUGCGCAGCGAUUGUUUGUGACAUCGUCACUGCUGGCAGGCCUGGCCUGCCUUUUCGCUUCGUUCUGGGUCUUCCACGUUAUC
rnacentral:lncRNA from 1 species